rnacentral:rRNA from 1 species
AAUGAACGCUGGCGGUGUGCUUAACACAUGCAAGUCGAACGAGAAAGUCUCUUCGGAGACGAGUACAGUGGCGGACGGGUGAGAAACGCGUGAAAUUUACCUUUAGUGAAGAAUACCCUCGAGAAAUCGAGGCUAAUACUGCAUACGUCCCUACGGGAGGAAAGAAUGGCCUCUUGCUGUCGCUGAAAGAUAAGCUCGCGUCCUAUUAGCUAGUUGGUGAGGUAAUGGCNCACCAAGGCGGAUGAUGGUAGCCGGCCUGAGAGGGUGUACGGCCGACAUUGGGACGUGAGA